rnacentral:rRNA from 1 species
GAUAAACGCUGACAGAAUGCUUAACACAUGCCAGUCGAUGAUGGGAGCUAGCUUGCUAGAAGAAGUCAUGGCGGACGGGUGAGUAACGUGUAAAGAACUUACCAUAUAGACUGGGAUAACAGAGGGAAACUUCUGAUAAUACUGGAUAAGUUAGUAGUAGCAUUACUAAGUAAUGAAAGGUAGCAAUACGCUAUAUGAGAGCUUUGCAUCCUAUUAGCUAGUUGGUGGGGUAAAAGCCUACCAAGGCGAUGAUAGGUAGCCGGCCUGAGAGGGUGGACAGCCACAAGGGGACUGAGAUACGGCCCUUACUCCUACGGGAGGCAGCAGUGGGGAAUAUUGGACAAUGGAGGCAACUCUGAUCCAGCAAUUCUGUGUGUGUGAAGAAGGUUUUAGGACUGUAAAACACUUUUAGUAGGGAAGAAAGAAAUGACGGUACCUACAGAAGAAGCGACGGCUAAAUACGUG